UAUAUAUAUGUGUGUGUGUGUGUGUGUAAAUGUGAUGAUAUAGUAGUAUAGUUCAUAGCCAAUUGAGAUGAAGCAUCACUCCUUCUAAGCCGUCAGUAUAAUAAAGGUUUAUGAUGCUGCUGCCUCAAAAAGGGAUGCAACCAGAUUUCGGCAACUGCUUCAACAAGAUCCAUAUCUGAUUUAUACGGUUUCGUUUCCAUGUUCAAGAAAUCUUCUGCACGUAGCAACGCUACUGAGGCAAGUAGCCAUCGUUGAAGAGGUGCUCAACCUUAAUCCGCAGCUAGCUCAGAUUUCCGACUCCCAAAAAUUACGACUAAUAUCUAAGAGACAAGGCCAAAUCCAUAUAUCUUCUAGAAACAGUACUGUCAGAGAAGAGAGAGCAGACAAUGAUGGUGAUGACCCUGAUCGCGACCAUGGCCAUAGUGAGGCCGUCAUGGCAAAUACUCACCCCAAGAUAUACAGGCAGCUUUCAUCUCAUCUGUCAUCACAAUAUUCUUGGUGUUAGAAGAUAUUGAAAGAUAUCGGAGAAUAUCACGGGAAAUCAAGAAAAGAUACGGGAGUAUAUUUAGCCUAAAAUAGAGGAAGCAAUCAAUGUAAAUUAGGUUUUCCUUUUUUGUAAAUAUUGUGUAGUCUAUAUAAUAUGUAAUCCCUAUCAUCUAAUUACAUUGAAUAAGAAUGAUAUCGAUUACCCAA